rnacentral:rRNA from 1 species
GACGAACGCUGGCGGCGUGCUUAACACAUGCAAGUCGAACGGAAAGGCCCUGCUUUUGUGGGGUGCUCGAGUGGCGAACGGGUGAGUAACACGUGAGUAACCUGCCCUUGACUUUGGGAUAACUUCAGGAAACUGGGGCUAAUACCGGAUAGUAGCUCCUGCUGCAUGGUGGGGGUUGGAAAGUUUCGGCGGUUGGGGAUGGACUCGCGGCUUAUCAGCUUGUUGGUGGGGUAGUGGCUUACCAAGGCUUUGACGGGUAGCCGGCCUGAGAGGGUGACCGGCCAAAUUGGGACUGAGAUACGGCCCAGACUCCUACGGGAGGCAGCAGUGGGGAAUAUUGCACAAUGGGCGGAAGCCUGAUGCAGCAACGCCGCGUGCGGGAUGAAGGCCUUCGGGUUGUAAACCGCUUUCGCCUGUGACGAAGCGUGAGUGACGGUAAUGGGUAAAGAAGCACCGGCUAACUACGUG